GUGCCAGCAGCCGCGGUAAUACGUAGGUGGCAAGCGUUGUCCGGAUUUAUUGGGCGUAAAGCGAGCGCAGGCGGUUCUUUAAGUCUGAUGUGAAAGCCCCCGGCUCAACCGGGGAGGGUCAUUGGAAACUGGAGGACUUGAGUGCAGAAGAGGAGAGUGGAAUUCCAUGUGUAGCGGUGAAAUGCGUAGAUAUAUGGAGGAACACCAGUGGCGAAGGCGGCUCUCUGGUCUGUAACUGACGCUGAGGCUCGAAAGCGUGGGGAGCAAACAGGAUUAGAUACCCUGGUAGUCC
rnacentral:rRNA from 1 species